UACAGAGGGGGCAAGCGUUAUUCGGAAUUAUUGGGCGUAAAGGGCGCGCAGGCGGUUGUGCAAGACCGAUGUGAAAUCCCCGGGCUUAACCUGGGAAUUGCAUUUGUGACUGCACGGCUAGAGUGUGUCAGAGGGGGGUAGAAUUCCACGUGUAGCAGUGAAAUGCGUAGAUAUGUGGAGGAAUACCGAUGGCGAAGGCAGCCCCCUGGGAUAACACUGACGCUCAUGCACGAAAGCGUGGGGAGCAAACAGG
rnacentral:rRNA from 1 species